rnacentral:rRNA from 1 species
GACGAACGCUGGCGGCGUGCUUAACACAUGCAAGUCGAGCGGUAAGGCCCUUUCGGGGGUACACGAGCGGCGAACGGGUGAGUAACACGUGGGUGACCUGCCCUCAGCUCUGGGAUAAGCCUGGGAAACUGGGUCUAAUACUGGAUAUGACUCCACGGUGCAUGUCGUGGGGUGGAAAGCCUUGUGCGGCUGAGGAUGGGCCCGCGGCCUAUCAGCUUGUUGGUGGGGUGANGGCCUACCAAGGCGACGACGGGUAGCCGGCCUGGGAGGGCGACCGGCCACACUGGGACUGAGAUACGGCCCAGACUCCUACGGGAGGCAGCAGUGGGGAAUCUUGCGCAAUGGGCGAAAGCCUGACGCAGCGACGCCGCGUGAGGGAUGACGGCCUGGUU